GGUUUAAUUCGACCAACGCGAAGAACCUUACCAGGGCUUGACAUGUACGUGAUUAAAUUUCGAAAAGAUUAUUUAAGUGUCGGUUCGGCCAUUGGCUUUACCGAAGAGACGUUCACAGGUGGUGCAUGGCUGUCGUCAGCUCGUGUUGUGAAAUGUAGAGUUCAGUCUCGUAACGAGCGCAACCCUUGUCUUUUUGUUGAUUAACGAAAGAGACUGCCGAUGAUUCAUCGGAGGAAGGUGAGGACGACGUCAAGUCAUCAUGCCCCUUACGCCCUGGGCGACACACGUGCUACAAUGGCUGGGACAAUGAGUAGCAACCCCGCGAGGGUGAGCAAACCCCAAAAACCCAGUCUCAGUUCGAAUUGGAGGCUGAAACUCGCCUCCAUGAAGAUGGAAUCGCUAGUAAUCGCCAGUCAGCCAUAUGGCGGUGAAUCCGUUCCCGGGCCUUGUACACACCGCCCGUCACACCAUGGGAGUUUGCCAGACCCAAAGUCGUUACCUUAACUUUUUAAGAGGGGGAUGCCUAAGGUCGGGCAGGUAACUAUGGUGAAGUCGAAACAAGGUAGCCGUACUGGAAGGUGCGGCUGGACAACCUCC
rnacentral:rRNA from 1 species